GAACAGAGCUGGCUCAACCAUUCUGUGAGCCAAUAAUAGAAAGGCUUUUAUAUCCCUGAUCUGUGAUGUGCCUGAGAAGAAGGGAGUGAGACUGCUCAGAGAGGCAGGAUUCCUGCUGACUCCAGGGGGACACCUGGCACCUCAGCUUCCUUUCCCACUUCUCCAGGCUGCAUGGAGGGGUGCCGGGCAGGGGCCUCCUGGAAGGGAACCUCCUGCAGCCUCAAGCACCAGGUCAUGACAUGACAUCUAUCCCUUUCCCAGGUGACCGACUCCUGCAGGUGGAUGGAGUGAUUCUGUGCGGCCUCACCCACAAGCAGGCUGUGCAGUGCCUGAAGGGUCCUGGGCAGGUUGCAAGACUGGUCUUAGAGAGAAGAGUCCCCAGGAGUACACAGCAGUGUCCUUCUGCUAAUGACAGCAUGGGAGAUGAACGCACGGCUGUUUCCUUGGUAACAGCCUUGCCUGGCAGGCCUUCGAGCUGUGUCUCGGUGACAGAUGGUCCUAAGUUUGAAGUCAAACUAAAAAAGAAUGCCAAUGGUUUGGGAUUCAGUUUCGUGCAGAUGGAGAAAGAGAGCUGCAGCCAUCUCAAAAGUGAUCUUGUGAGGAUUAAGAGGCUCUUUCCGGGGCAGCCAGCUGAGGAGAAUGGGGCCAUUGCAGCUGGUGACAUUAUCCUGGCCGUGAAUGGAAGGUCCACGGAAGGCCUCAUCUUCCAGGUGCCGGGGGUCAUGGGCAAUGCAGCUCUCUGUGCAGGCUGGCCCCAGCUUUGCCUCUUACUAGCCUGCUGCCGUGGGGAAAACUCUGGGCUCUCAAAAAUCACACCAGCAGCCCGGAUUUUAAUCACACAAAGAGAGUAAUUAGUGGUACAUGCUCACAUUUAAUUUAAAAUCUCUGUUUUUAAAUAUCUGACCUUGAGUCAGCCUUGCUUCUCACUGGGUUCAUGAGAGAAGCUGAAGAUAAAGCCCUGGCCUUUGUGCUGGCUGACAUCUCUUCACACACAUCCUGGGAGGUGGGCGUGGGGCUGAAGGGACUAGAGUGGGUCCCUUUCUGCUCUCCUUCCCAUUUCUCAACACAUUUACAGCUUUUCAUACAUUAUUACACUGAUUGUCCUGUCUAUGAUAAAAAAUGCAAUUUAAGAAGAGAGAGUAAUGAAAUACUGUAUAUAUUAGACAGAGUCCUGGAAGAAAAUGGAGUCAUUUGAGGAACAUUUAAUAAAGGUGUGGGCAGGUUGUUAGGAAGCUCAAGGGAGCAUGUUGUGGCCUAGGGCUAGGAUAGGAAGAGUGGGAUGCAGUUACCCCUAUCCUGAGGCCAAAGGGGAAGGGAAAGAGCAGUUAUUCCACCCCAGGAAUGGAGAGCUGUUGGAGGGGACUCGCUGGCAUGAGCUCUCACUUUGGCUGAGGUUGUAGUCGUCCCAUGGCAACCUGAAGGGAGGAAUUUGGAAGGAGCAAUGACCUCCGCUCCUCCCUGUCUCUGGUCUCUUGCCGUGUUCCCCUAGCUGAGCCCAACAGGAAGCCUCAUGCAGCCUUUAUAAGUCAGCUCCAGAAACACAAAGCAAGAUGGACAAAGGGGGACAGUGGCUCUGGGCAGGGCUGGGGGGAGGUCUCUAGAACACCAUAUGCUUGGGUGGGAGGGCAUGCCUUCAUCCAUCCAUCUCCUGAUCCAAGAACCCUUCUCUGAGAACCACUGCUGGGCUGGCAACUCUAUGAGAGACUGAAGACACAGAGGAAGACAGCUCAUGCAGUUUCAGAGCUCAUGGACAGAAAACAGCGGUGAUGGCAGGAGAUAUGUAUCCUGAGAGAUGAAAGCCCAUGCUGCAGUGCUCACACCAGUGAGCCAGGAAAGAAGUGCACCCCUUGGAAGUCCUGCGUGGCUGAAGCAGGGACUGGGGAGUGUCUUGAUCAGCAGUUCUUAAGCAGAGAUUAUUUCCUUCUCAUGGGAUAUUUGAUUAAGUCCAGAGACAUUUGUGAUUGUCACAACUGAUGAGUGCUUCUGGCAUCUAGAGGUGCUGCAUUUACUGAGAGGGGCCCCACAGGAAGUCACGCUCCUCCUUUGCCGACCCCCUCCAGGUGCGCUGCCUGAGAUGGAGCAGGAAUGGCAGACACCUGAACUCUCAGCUGACAAAGAAUUCACCAGGGCAACAUGUACUGACUCAUGUACCAGCCCCAUCCUGGAUCAAGAGGACAGCUGGAGGGACAGUGCCUCCCCAGAUGCAGGGGAAGGCCUGGGUCUCAGGCCAGAGUCUUCCCAAAAGGCCAUCAGAGAGGCACAAUGGGGCCAAAACAGAGAGAGACCUUGGGCCAGUUCCUUGACACAUUCUCCUGAGUCCCACCCUCAUUUAUGCAAACUUCACCAAGAAAGGGAUGAAUCAACAUUGGCGACCUCUUUGGAAAAGGAUGUGAGGCAAAACUGCUAUUCAGUUUGUGAUAUCAUGAGACUUGGAAGAUAUUCCUUCUCAUCUCCUCUAACCAGACUUUCGACAGAUAUUUUCUGAGCACCUUCUCUGCAUGUCUGCAGUGCUGUGUAAAAUGCCCUACCUUUGCAUGGACUAUUCUUUCUAAUCAAGAGGCGUGUGUGGCGAACUUGGGGCAGCCCCUGGAAGUCUUGUUCUUUGACCAUUACGUCUGCGGCUGCAUCACCAGAUAAUGAGCUUCACCACUUGUCUGCCUCCUGUGUCCUUCCGCGG
ensembl:lncRNA novel transcript